rfam:Triticum aestivum genome assembly, contig: Triticum_aestivum_CS42_TGACv1_scaffold_363130_4DS
UUAUUACUCCCUCCGUCCGAAAAUACUUAUCAUCAAAAUGAAUAAAAAAAAAUGUAUGUAGAACUAAAAUACAUCUAGAUACUUCCCCUUUUAUUCAUUUUGAUGACAAGUAUUUUCGGAUGAAGGGACUAUUAU